rnacentral:tRNA from 1 species
GCUCUAGUAGCUUAACCUUUAAAGCAUUGUUUUUGUAAACCAAAGAUGGGUUUACCCCCUAGAACA